ACUUUGUGGAUUUUGCUACAAAAGAGAACACCAUGUGUAGGGAACCUGAAUUUUUUGUAAUAGGCAGUGAGCUUGCCUGCCCUUUGGCCUGGAAAGAGACACUGUAUCUUCCAGGGCUGUUUGCUGCUGUAUAAACAUCCUUGAAAAGACAGCCUUGAACAAAGGGCAGUCAAUAGUUCUACUCAUAAGACAUGGAGAAAUGCAAAAGACCCAUGGAGAUUUGUCUUCUAAUAGGCAGCAUCUUGCAAGGAGAACAAGAAGAUUUACACUAGCCAUGCAAGGAGUCUUUGAAAGUCUAACAGACCUGACUUGAAGAGAAGGCUUUAAACAAGAAAUUCUUCAUUCUGGAACAGUGAUUCUUAAAGUGCGGUUCAGAGACCCUGGGAGACACUGACAUUCUUUCAGAGUGUGAGUGAGGAUUUCCUCUUUGCAACUACAAUCUGUAACCCUUUGUAUCCUGAGAAACCGAAUUAAUCUGCACCCUCUCUGUCAAAGUUUCCUGAUCAUCACAGCUGGAAACAAUCUCUCACUUUUGAAAAUCUGUAACAACUACUGAGAUCCAAUAUGG
rnacentral:antisense_RNA from 1 species